AUUCAGGGCUGAGAAGUGAGGGAAGAAAGCCAGGAGGGGUAUGCGAUGUCAGGAAGAUGGACAGCUCUGUGACAAUGACCCUGCCUGUCCCCUGGGGGGCCAGGGGCUAUAUCUGGAAGCACAGUUACACGCUGUCCUCUGAGGGGCAUGAUUCAACGCAGGUGGGCGGUGGGCCAGGGGCCGGGCAGGGCCACCCAGAGGACAAGGUCAGCUUGGCAAGGCCCUGGGGCCCCUGCCAAAGGGCACUGAAAGGUCCUUGCCAGGCCACUUAGCCCAGGACCUGAGGGGAGGGCAGCAGGUCUAAGAAAACUCCACCAUCAAGAAACCUCUGGGGCAGAAAAAACCCUACUGAUGCAGCCCCACACCACACCCACAAAGGACAGACAGACCUCCGCUGAGACAGAGGGUGUGAUUCUGGCCUCGUUACCUGCAGUCACACCUGCACUCAGCGCGCACGUGUGUCAGCAAGGAAGAUGCUGGCCUGCGAGUCUCUUUGCUCCCUGGUCAGCUGUCCCCAGGCUUCUGGCCUCUGACUCUGGACCCCAAAUCUCAAUCAGUGGAAACCGGGCCCACCAGAGCUCUCUCCGGAUAUGCUGGGUCUUCCCCAUCAGCCCCCAACAAAGGGACCGCGCAAUUAGGGCCCGUCAGGCAGAAAUCCCCAGUGGACUGCACCUCCCAAAAGAGCUGGUCUCUGGGCCUUUGUCUCUCCUGGACUCAUCUUAGCGAAGACAUAAAAUGAGGAGGAUUCCAGCAAAUCAAAAGUUCCAGGGAGUCCUCUCUUUACCUGGAGUUACCUUGUUACUGAAAACGACCAUGGCCUUGCAUAACUACUCCAGCAAAAUGCUCAUUGCUGCCGCCAAUGAGCUCCCCGUGCUCAAUUAGCUCGUAAUAGUCAGUGAGAGCCGCCGAGGUUUAAUCCGACUACCCCAGAAGACUUCUUAUCCCAACCACCUAAUGAAAAGUUUAGAACUGACUUUUUUUUUUCUUUUCCCUGGCAAGUGAACGAAUUCCAAUCAAAAUUAGAAGAGCGAGCAUGUUAACGACCAGGGAAAAGUCUAGAAGGGAUGUCUUUGUUGGGUUGAAUCCUAGACAGGGUUCAACUGAAGGGACUUCCGCUCCACCUUCCCAAGAAGCACAUACAGGGGUUCCCCACUGAGGGGGUUGGUCUGAGAAGGUGGGCGGGGCUGGGGGGGGGCUCAGCCUAAGGACCCCCUCCCCCUUCCUCCCUGCCCUCCAGGGUGGCCAAGUCUCUGAACUCAGCCCCACCACACUGCAGCCCCCUAUGCUGUGUGUUCUCAAGGUGGGCUUCAUGGAGCCUGAACACUCACCACAUAUUGGGGGGUUUAUCUAGUCUGACAUGAGAAAUAUGAAUAUUCUGGAUCUGCAUCCAAUUUGAAAUCCAUAUUUGAUUUGUGGGCAGCUCAACAUGGAGGGUCCACCGGAAGGGCCAGCUUUUAAUCAUUAAUGCAGGUGUUUCUCAAUUGGCAGCCCAAGGAAGGUCAUGCCAUCCUUAGAACUCCGAGGAUUCUCCAGCAGGAGAGACUGGGCUUAAGGACUUUUCUGUGGGCAGAAGAGGAGGAAGAGGAGAAGGAGAGGGGGAGGGAAGAGACCCCUGGCCAACUGGCUCUUGUUCUCAAAAGCUCUUGGUCCCUGUCCUCCAGAGAAGCAGGUCCAGUGCCCACCAUGAAGCUCCAUGUGGACCCUCCCAGCAGAAAAGAGCCCAUCAAAAUCCAAGGAACCUCCUCCCCGACGCUGUUCCUCAUCAACCUGGGCCCCAGGAGUUUCUCCCUCCUGUAAACUGUCACACUCAACUCUCCCCCACCUUGUAGGGGUGGGGCCCACUUGGCCUUGCUGGGGGCUCACAUCAUCCUCUUAGCCAGUCCGACAGCGCCUUGCAGGUUAAGGGCCCCAGCUGCAGCCCCUCUGUCUGUCCUGCCAGGCUUUGCACCAACUGGCCCUCAGUUGAUACUGGCUAACUGAUGAACUCAUCCAUGAAGGAUUUUCUCCCCCAAAGAGAGCCACAUCUCAUCACCCAGGACAGUCAUUGAGGUUUUCCUUCUCCAUCUGGUUCCCAUUUGGUUGAUGUUCUGAUCCCCAGAGAAGGCUCCAGCCUCCCCAGUGCGUGCCUGGGGAAGAUGAGGUUGUUGGAGAACAGACAGAACGAGCCUCAUGCCAAGUGGUCCAGCUUGCCCGGACAGGUUCCAAAGGUCAGGGAGGCUGGAAUCUUCCUGCCGCAUCCCACCCCAGGAUACUGAAGUCUGAAGAGCUGGUGACACCCCUAGCUGCCAGAGCGCCCACCUUUCUGGGAUGCAGCACUGGCCAGCUGGCCCCUUCACUCUGAUUCAGCAUCACAGAGCAGAGGGCCUCCUCCUAAGGAACAGAGCACCCAGCCGGGUCCCCAUGUGGGAAACCAUAGGCAGCUCUCUGGUGCGGCCCCUCCUCUCUGUGUGGGACAGUUAUGGACACAUAAAAAAAUAGCCAGGCUCUCACCUGGGUGGGAGGGCCAAUUACUCACUACAGACCCUCUAGCGACACUCCCAGAACUACCCUUCCCCCUGCCCUUAAGGCAAGAGGGAGGAGUAAUGGUCGCCACGGCAGCUACAACUGAACACAAAUGACUAGGGAAGAGCAGGAAGAGGCUAAGUCACACACCUGCUCUUGGCCACCCAGGUACAAGGCCCUGAGCAGUAGCCCAUGCGCCCAUCCCACCCCCAGGACCCCCAGGGACAGAGCCUCACUGAUUCUCCCUGUCUCAGCCCCCAGGCACUGAGACACUGGUUGUCUUUACACACAGGAAAGCAAGCCUCUGGGCCAGCACAGCCGUGCCACAUACUAGAAAAGUAAGAGCUCAGAGAGCAGAGAGCCCUGGCUAGGAAUCCAGCUUCGCUGCUCCUAGGCUGUGUGACCUUACACAAGCUACUGCAGUGCUGGAAGCCUUACUUGUAAAACAGAAUCAGCAUAACUACCACCAAGGUCAACAUGAGAAAAGUGAGUUUAGACCUGCAGCAGGCCAAGCACCGGGCCUGGACCACAGUAGGCAUCCAAUUACGUAGUGAUUUUUGUCUUCUCCCCUCAGCCAGACCGUGCGUCCAGAGCCAUUCAUUUAUUCAACAGUAUUUACUGAGAGCCUGCUGUGUGUCAGGUCUUGGAGAUGCCACGGAGCACACACCGAUAAGGUCCUGCCUCCACUCCUGUCCUUUAGUCUAGACAGCUGGCCCUUGGGGCUGCAAGGAUGCAGGGUGGCGCUUCAGGGGCAAUUCCCCAUCAGGUGCCUCGAGACAUACUGGUCCACUCAGCCAUUAGUUUAUUCCAAAAACAACUGAGUUAUAACCACCUUGCAGGUCACUCCGCUAGGAAGUAUGGGAGACAUGGAAAUAAAUCACACGUUCUGAAAAAGCUGAGAGUCUAGGAGGCGAAAAAGGACAAGCAAAUAAAUAGCUAUGACACAAAGAAGGUGACAGGUGCCAUAAGAGGGGAUAGAUAAAUGGCUACAAGCAAUCAGAUGGGGGGGCGGCCUCUUGUCCUGCCCAGACAGAUGCAUCCCAUGGCUGAGCCGGCUGACUUUCAAAAGAGAAGAGAAAAAGGCUCACUCGCCUGCCUGGCACGCUUCCUAGCAUGGGAAGCAGGCGGGAUCUAUUUAAAACAGCCAGAGGCAGGUUAGAGCCUUUUCUGGCAAUUCCCAAAACUCGUGCUUCCUCGAGCUGACUGAGUAGCGGGAUAGAACCAAUCCUGUCAAAAUCCUACAGAUCUUUAAAAAAAAAAAAAAAUCAUUUGGAUGUUGCCCGGAUGAUAAAAGAACGCUGCCAUUCAAAGGGAGGAUCCGUGUGGGGAGGAAGGUGGGGCUGGUGGGGGACAGGAGGAGGGGAUGGGAAAAGGGGGGAACGCCCCCCAAAUAUGGAUCAGGGCAACGAGCAAAGGAAAUUUAUGCAUUGUCGUGGCUUUACUACCUAAUUAAUUCGGUAAUUUCAAAAACAAUUUUAUUUAUGUUCCGUUUACCACAUCAAAAGUUAAAAAAAAAACAUACUGAUGCUAAAAUAAUACCUCAAGGCGUCUAUUUUUAAUCAGUUUUAAAGGGGGGGGUCAUUAAAACACCCGCAAGCCAGUGGAAGUCAGCCAAUUACAAUUUUAAAUUUAGCCUGUUCUCUGCCCCAUUCUCUUGUUUUCUUCCUUUGCCCACAGAAUACUGCUGCUGUUAUUUCUUCCCUCCCCUCCUCUGCCCAAAGUGGAAGAGACAGUUAUGAAAAUGCAGAGUCUUGCACGGAACGCAGAACCAUUCACACGAAACGCGAAUUAUUGAAUUACAAAAUGCAAAAACUUCUGCCCCCUCCAAAGCCAACCCAUGCCUCCACCUCAGCGCCCUGGAUUCCUCAAAAUGCCAGGCUCGGCCCUAGAGGUCACAGGGCCGUCUUUAACAUGAAAAGGUUCUCGAGUGGGGCCCUGUUGAGUGGGGUCCUGUUGAGGUCCCCCCCUCGCACAAAAUCAGCGUGUUCACGGUUGAAUCCAAGAGGGGGAGAAACGGCUAUCCGAGAAUUCAUAACAAACAAUGAAGUUGAAAUGCAAAGGUAAGGCAGGCUUCGCAAUCAAGCAUGAAUGUCGAGGGAAGUCACUAGAUAUGAUGAGCUCAUUUAGUUUUUAAAUCUGCAAGGUAAUGGUCUGUGUGGAGCCAUUACAGCAAAAGGAACAAUUUUGAGUAUUUCAUGUAAACGCUUCUUCUCAAUCUCUUUCUCUCAUGUGUGCACACACAAACACACACACGCACACACAGCUGCCCCUCCUUAGUGGGAACAGAACCGUAGCUUUCCCACAUCUUCCAAGAAGUAAGUAGCCUCCUUCCCAAAAAACCGCCCAAUUCCAUUUGCUCCCCUGACCCUAAUUAAUGGAUGAGUCUGGAAGGUCAGCAGAACAGACCCCUGAACCUCUAGGUACACGUCCCAUCACCUCCAGGACCCCUCACCCUCCUGUUCCACAUACACAGCGUUAUACACGCAUACGUCUCACACACACACACAUGCACAGAGUCACACACAGAGUCACACACAUGCACAGUCUCACAUUUUCUCUCUUUCACACACACACACAGAGACCAUGAGAAGACCAGCGCUCUGCCUCCAUCCGUCACAGCUCUACGGCCCAGGCAGACGGGGCACCUGGGAAAGGCAUGGCCACUGUGUUGUUUUGCAGAGAGUCCGUGCAGGGCAGCAUGGAGGCCGGACGCCGCCAUGUGUACUGAUCUACCUGGCAGCUCUGGGUGAGGUGGGACUCAGGGUUGGUCUGUGGCUCCCAACCAGACGCACUAAGAAGAGAGAAAAAAAUCCAGGGGCAUCGACGUCCAGUGGCAGUUUACCAAAGAUGGGAGGAUUGGUCCUGCCCUUUGGAGAAUGCAAACCUGAGGUCUGCAUGGCUGCCCCUCGUUCUGAGGGUCCUCAGAGCACAGCAGAUGUCACCAUCCCAGCCUUAGCGUUGAAUCUCCCCACCCGGUUGCUCCAACUGUGGGGGCCUCAACCGGCUGCUCUUCACUCUGUUUAUUUAGGCCCCAUUCAUGAAGCUAAUAAAGCAGGUGCUUCAGCGCCCGGCCCCCCUCCCCCACAUUGCACAGGCCCAUUCCCUGGGAAGGGCUCUAGCAUUUGAUAUCCAUAAUCUUUUUCUGAAAGAGGGCACCCCAAUUCAUGAAAGCUCCACCAAACCCAGACCCUCCCCAGAAGUACAAACACUUUAGUAUCUACAAGCACUUUUCAAAAGCUUUCUAGGAGCCGGGCACCAGAACAGGCCACAGGUCCGUGAGGGUGACACACCCCCAGGUGCCUGACGGCUCCAUAUGCAGGUGCAUGGUCACAGGCCUCUGAAAGCACAGUGCCAGCAAGACGUGGUCUUUAGCCUCAAAGUCCAAUAAGGAUCUUGCAAACCCUAACCCCGCUCAUCCACUCGCCUGUGCUCAGCUCAAACACCCAGGGAUCCAGAGAAAGGAGGAACCAGGCCAGAGAAGGCUCCCUCUGGUCUCCAAGAGGCAAAGGGGCAGGAGCACACAAGGGUCAGGAUGCCAAGAGCAUUCCUGAGUCCUCCCCAGGCUUCUGGGCCAGAGUGACAUUUCGUCCCCCACCCCAGUCACCACCCAACUUCCAAGCUAAGACACUUUGAGGCGUGUGUGUGUGUGUGUGUGUGUGUGUGUGUGUGUGUGUGUGAGAGAGAGAGAGAGAGAGAGAGAGAGAGAAAGCCAACCAAGAUGGAGGGGAGACCAAGUCUGAUGAAGACACAGGAAGGAAGACAGCAGGUGCACACGAGCAUGGAGAAAAGGCUGUGGCCACCACAGAUGCAAGAACAGGGAUGAAAAGAUGGCAUGAGAUGAAGAGAGACUGGGGAAAAGGGAGGGGAAGACAGCAGAGCUGAAAGGUAAACACCUGCCACUAGAGAGAGCGGAGAAGACAGCGCCGAGAAGGACAGCCAGCAGGGAGAGCCGCCACCACGUGGAAGGGUGGCAGCUGGUCUCUCGGGCACAGCCUCGGACAUCGGGCCCCAGGCACAGCCCGGUGAGAGAGCGAGGGCGCGAGGGCAGGGCGAGAAGGGGGCAACGGAGGACCACUCAGGCAGGGGGCAUGCCCGAGAGGCAGAAAGACCUCGGAAAUCAGAGAAUGGCAUCGGCUUUGGGUGGAUCCCGCACGAACCUCCUACCCGACAACCCCAUGGCCAUCCACCCUCGACACAAACGAGGGCCGGCAGAGGAGCCCGGAAUGCAGGAGGAUGGAGGGAGGCAGGCAGAGGGGAGGAGAGAACAGGACAGACAGGAUGUCCCAGCAUCCGUGUCUCGAGGGACAUUCAUUUCUUGAUAGGAACGUCACCCUCGACCCGACAGAAUCAUAUGGUACGAAAGGGGGCGUGGGGGGAGAAACCACCCUAUCUGGGGGGUGGAAAAAUCAAAGCGACAGAGAGAGACAGACAGACAGAGGGCAAAACAGAGAAAGACGCUUAUUACAUAAUUUCCACUUUCGUCCCUCCACCCUUCAAGUAAUGUUCUAUCUGACAGGAUCCUCUCUGAGGGGGGAAAAAUGACAAAUCCAAUCCAAAAUUCAACAGCCUGUGUUCUGUUCAGAGAGCACACAGUGUACUGUACAGCCCAUAAAACUCCAAACAGCCUCCAGACACUGCCGCAAUCGUCCUCCAUCAAAACACUUUGUCUUGCAUACAAAAAUAAGAUACAGCGCUGAACGGAAUACAAAAUCAGCCCAUUACAGUACAGGGAGACUGCUACUUAGCAACGAGGGGGCUCUAAAGCCUCGAUGCUCUACAGGAAGCAAAAUCUGUCGAGCCUGUUGGGCAAAUGAUAAACAUUAGCAGUAUUAAAAAACACAAAAGCCAUGUAAAUGGAUAGACAUAAUGUGGAAACGAAUUUAUAGAAUAAAUUGGGAUGGGGGACGGGAGGGUAGGGGGAGAGGCUGGGCUCCAGAGGGGCAGAUACACGAGCUUCCCAAACCCCUGCUAAGGCACCAUAUGGAGGGAGAGACAUGUGUGUGUUCGGGGGAGGACUCCGUGAACCCCCUUUUCACACAGGGGGCUGUAUGGAGGUGAAGGGGUGGGAGAGAAGCAGUGAAAACACUGUUUAAUACAAUGACCUGCAAUGAACUCUCUGAACUUUCUCUCUUCGGCGGGUCUGAUGUGACAUCUUCAGGGCUGGGGGACCCAGGCACACACACAUCCAGCCAUACUGAGGUGCAGAGAUGGGGGAACUUUAAUGGCCCUGGAGCCAGCAUGGCACCCAACACCAUCACAGGACCUGUCACUUGCUGUAAACAACAC
rnacentral:lncRNA from 1 species